CUGUUUGACAUGAAACAAUAAUUCUCAUCACUCUCUCUCAAACCUGCAGACUUUUAAUUUUUGUUUUUCUUUAAUCUUGCAGAUGAAGAGAGAGAAAAUGUAGUUACAUUGAGGCUUCCAUAAUGUCAAGUCUGUCAGUGAGAUCUGAUCCCAUGUCUGUCUCCACAAAGUUAGCAUGAGGCCUUCUUAAUUAGAAAAUCAUUUUUAAAACUCAGUGAAUAAGUAAUAAUAAUACAGUUGAUAAAGAUGACCUCUCUUUGCUAACUACCUGCUGCUGUCAGGUUCACGUCCAAAAAUGGGAAAAUUCAGUGACUGCUGUCAAAAGGUAGAGAAAUGAAACAGAUUGUGUAAUAAUAUUAGACCUGUACAUAAUUAAACAUUCAUAUAAUUACAUAUUUUGAUGACUGCAUGGCGUUUUGACAUUAACAGUCUUAUCUGAGUAUCAAAC